rnacentral:rRNA from 1 species
GAUGAACGCUGGCGGCGUGCUUAACACAUGCAAGUCGAACGAAGCACUUUAUUUGAUUUCCUUCGGGACUGAUUAUUUUGUGACUGAGCGGCGGACGGGUGAGUAACGCGUGGGUAACCUGCCUUGUACAGGGGGAUAACAGUUGGAAACGGCUGCUAAUACCGCAUAAGCGCACAGCAUCGCAUGAUGCAGUGUGAAAAACUCCGGUGGUAUAAGAUGGACCCGCGUUGGAUUAGCUAGUUGGUGAGGUAACGGCCCACCAAGGCGACGAUCCAUAGCCGACCUGAGAGGGUGACCGGCCACAUUGGGACUGAGACACGGCCCAAACUCCUACGGGAGGCAGCAGUGGGGAAUAUUGCACAAUGGGCGAAAGCCUGAUGCAGCGACGCCGCGUGAGCGAAGAAGUAUUUCGGUAUGUAAAGCUCUAUCAGCAGGGAAGAUAAUGACGGUACCUGACUAAGAAGCACCGGCUAAAUACGUG